AGACCCGAAACCCGGUGAUCUAGCCAUGGGCAGGUUGAAGGUUGGGUAACACUAACUGGAGGACCGAACCGACUAAUGUUGAAAAAUUAGCGGAUGACCUGUGGCUGGGGGUGAAAGGCCAAUCAAACCGGGAGAUAGCUGGUUCUCCCCGAAAGCUAUUUAGGUAGCGCCUCGUGAAUUCAUCUCCGGGGGUAGAGCACUGUUUCGGCUAGGGGGCCAUCCCGGCUUACCAACCCGAUGCAAACUGCGAAUACCGGAGAAUGUUAUCACGGGAGACACACGGCGGGUGCUAACGUCCGUCGUGAAGAGGGAAACAACCCAGACCGCCAGCUAAGGUCCCAAAGUCAUGGUUAAGUGGGAAACGAUGUGGGAAGGCCCAGACAGCCAGGAUGUUGGCUUAGAAGCAGCCAUCAUUUAAAGAAAGCGUAAUAGCUCACUGGUCGAGUCGGCCUGCGCGGAAGAUGUAACGGGGCUAAACCAUGCACCGAAGCUGCGGCAGCGACGCUGAUGCGUUGUUGGGUAGGGGAGCGUUCUGUAAGCCUGUGAAGGUGGCCUGUGAGGGUUGCUGGAGGUAUCAGAAGUGCGAAUGCUGACAUAAGUAACGAUAAAGCGGGUGAAAAGCCCGCUCGCCGGAAGACCAAGGGUUCCUGUCCAACGUUAAUCGGGGCAGGGUGAGUCGACCCCUAAGGCGAGGCCGAAAGGCGUAGUCGAUGGGAAACGGGUUAAUAUUCCCGUACUUGGUGUUACUGCGAAGGGGGGACGGAGAAGGCUAUGUUGGCCGGGCGACGGUUGUCCCGGUUUAAGCGUGUAGGUGUGUGUUCCAGGUAAAUCCGGUUCACUUUAACACUGAGGCGUGACGACGAGGCACUACGGUGCUGAAGCAACAAAUGCCCUGCUUCCAGGAAAAGCCUCUAAGCAUCAGGUAACAUCAAAUCGUACCCCAAACCGACACAGGUGGUCAGGUAGAGAAUACCAAGGCGCUUGAGAGAACUCGGGUGAAGGAACUAGGCAAAAUGGUGCCGUAACUUCGGGAGAAGGCACGCUGACAUGUAGGUGAAGUGAUUUACUCAUGGAGCUGAAGUCAGUCGAAGAUACCAGCUGGCUGCAACUGUUUAUUAAAAACACAGCACUGUGCAAACACGAAAGUGGACGUAUACGGUGUGACGCCUGCCCGGUGCCGGAAGGUUAAUUGAUGGGGUCAGCGCAAGCGAAGCUCCUGAUCGAAGCCCCGGUAAACGGCGGCCGUAACUAUAACGGUCCUAAGGUAGCGAAAUUCCUUGUCGGGUAAGUUCCGACCUGCACGAAUGGCGUAAUGAUGGCCAGGCUGUCUCCACCCGAGACUCAGUGAAAUUGAACUCGCUGUGAAGAUGCAGUGUACCCGCGGCAAGACGGAAAGACCCCGUGAACCUUUACUAUAGCUUGACACUGAACAUUGAGCCUUGAUGUGUAGGAUAGGUGGGAGGCUUUGAAGUGUGGACGCCAGUCUGCAUGGAGCCGACCUUGAAAUACCACCCUUUAAUGUUUGAUGUUCUAACGUGGACCCGUAAUCCGGGUUGCGGACAGUGUCUGGUGGGUAGUUUGACUGGGGCGGUCUCCUCCUAAAGAGUAACGGAGGAGCACGAAGGUUGGCUAAUCCUGGUCGGACAUCAGGAGGUUAGUGCAAUGGCAUAAGCCAGCUUGACUGCGAGCGUGACGGCGCGAGCAGGUGCGAAAGCAGGUCAUAGUGAUCCGGUGGUUCUGAAUGGAAGGGCCAUCGCUCAACGGAUAAAAGGUACUCCGGGGAUAACAGGCUGAUACCGCCCAAGAGUUCAUAUCGACGGCGGUGUUUGGCACCUCGAUGUCGGCUCAUCACAUCCUGGGGCUGAAGUAGGUCCCAAGGGUAUGGCUGUUCGCCAUUUAAAGUGGUACGCGAGCUGGGUUUAGAACGUCGUGAGACAGUUCGGUCCCUAUCUGCCGUGGGCGCUGGAGAACUGAGGGGGGCUGCUCCUAGUACGAGAGGACCGGAGUGGACGCAUCACUGGUGUUCGGGUUGUCAUGCCAAUGGCACUGCCCGGUAGCUAAAUGCGGAAGAGAUAAGUGCUGAAAGCAUCUAAGCACGAAACUUGCCCCGA
rnacentral:rRNA from 1 species